GGCGGGGCUGAAGGCAGCGGCGCACUGCGAUAGGCUAUGAGAGCUGUCCGUUAACCGGCCGGAGGCGGGGCAGUGGGAGGUGAAGGGCGAAGGGCAAAGGGCACACGGGUGCCAUGGAGACGGGGCCUGGCCGGGAGCCGACCCUGCCCCGCCGCCCUCCGCUUGGGCCGCGCUGCAGCCGCUUCGGGUGUGGGGUAAACCCGCUCUCCCCGCGGUGCCCCCCAGCCCUAGCCGUUCCUCUCGGCUCCGGCUGCGCCUCAUCCCAUCCUGUGGCUGUGUAAGUCCACAGGACUGUGUAAGUCCAGCCAAGCAGCUGCGAGGCAUCCCCGAAAUAACGGGGACAUCCCCGAAAUAACGGGGACAUCCCCAAAAUAACGGGGACAUCCCCAAAAUAACGGCGCCCGGCUCCAGCGCCCCAGCCAUAGGGAACGGGCUCCUCUGGGCGCCGCCUCACGGCCCCGGCCACGGCAGAGACGCUUCUGUGGGGAUCCUGCGCUGGCUCGGAAGGGUUGGGCUGCGCUGCUCUCCCUCCCUGCAGUGGCGUUACAAGGGUCUCCUCCCGGUGUCACCGGACUCCGGAUCCCCUGCCCAGCCCGGGGGGUUGCGGUACGACAGCUCCAGCUUGUGCCGUGUCUGCUCCCCCUGGCAACACCGGGAACCGGUGCUGGCACAUCAGGGACCAGCUGCCUGGGAAGGCCUGUUCCUGGAGAAGCCAGGCUGUUUUUCAGGGACAUUGCUGCUGUACUGGGGAAAACAGACCAGGACACAACUCAGCCAUAUCCCCACACCUCCCACAGGACAGCCCCAGUGCUCCCAGCCCAGCAUCACUUUUGCUUCAUCCCCAUCUUGGGGUUUCCUGUGUGAAUUGGGAUCCAGGCUGGGAUGCGAGGAGGAGGAAAUCCAGGUUUGGUGGUUCUGGGAGGAGGUUGGUUUGGUGCUGGAUGGAUCCCUCUGUAUUUAUUUAUUUGUAUUUGUGUAACACCAAAUAAAGAGCUGGUGGGGGGUGGAUUUAAAAGAAGG
rnacentral:lncRNA from 1 species